CCAAGUCACAUACACUCAGGACCUGCAAAUCUUGACAGUGUCGAUAAACACUGGACAAUGACCCUGCAGACUUGGGUGCAGAGGACGAUCCUGCAGAACUCAAAGAUGUCAACUUUUGCUCAAGCCCAAGACAUUUAGCAGUGUCUAACUAAGGAGCCUACUCAGCCAGCACCUUCCUUUGUUGACAGACAAAUUAUCUCCAGGCAGCAUCUCAGGUCUUUGGCACCUUUGGAGGAAUAGUUAAAGUCCAUUAGCAAGAGAGCAGACAGCUUCCUUCCAUUCGCCUUCCAUGAAGACAAAUGUUGUUAUGGCUUCCAUUGCCCUCUCAGUGUGUUAGACAUGAGCUUCCACGGUGAAUAAAAAAACAAAUUGGGAAAGUUUUUAA